CCUACGGGUGGCAGCAGUGGGGAAUAUUGGGCAAUGGGCGCAAGCCUGACCCAGCAACGCCGCGUGAAGGAAGAAGGCUUUCGGGUUGUAAACUUCUUUUAUCAGGGACGAAGCAAGUGACGGUACCUGAUGAAUAAGCCACGGCUAACUACGUGCCAGCAGCCGCGGUAAUACGUAGGUGGCAAGCGUUAUCCGGAUUUACUGGGUGUAAAGGGCGUGUAGGCGGGAGUGCAAGUCAGAUGUGAAAACUAUGGGCUCAACCCAUAGCCUGCAUUAGAAACUGUACUUCUUGAGUGCUGGAGAGGCAAUCGGAAUUCCGUGUGUAGCGGUGAAAUGCGUAGAUAUCGAGAGGAACACUCGUGGCGAAGGCGGGUUCCUGGACAUUAACUGACGCUGAGGCACGAAGGCCAGGGGAGCGAAAGGGAUUAGAUACCCUUGUAGUC
rnacentral:rRNA from 1 species